GCGAAAGGGAGCAGAGAGCUUGGAGAGAAACCUCUUGGAUUUGGUGCUAGAUGAUGGAUCAUUCCAUGGUCUCUGCUCAGAAGAAACUAUGUUCCUCUUGGGGAAGUGAAAUCUCACAUGACUGCGAGCACCAUGCAGCUGUCCCAGGGCCCCUGAUCUGCUCCCCUGGAAGAGCACGGGAGGAGUGCUGGCCUCCUGUGGCAGCAGGGGCACAGGAUGGAGCAGCAGCAUCUGCAGCCCUCCCUGGGGAGCUGCCUGCCAUCAGCAGUAACAGAGAAGAGUCAUUCACCAGUGAGAGUUUCUCUGAGGAGGAGCAGGACUUUUCAGGAACCUGGAAAGAGAGAACAAAGACUCUCAUGUAAUGGCUUGUCUGCAUCAGCUCUGGAGCUGUGGCUUGGAGAGGCACUUUGCUGUUCACAAGACUUCAAAUAAGGCCACCAGUCACCUUCAGGGAGCAAUACAAUUCCUGGACAGGAUGGGUUAACCCCACCAAGCCCCUCCAUUAGCCCCCUCCUCUGCAGAUCAAGGGGGAGAAAAUAAGAUGAAAAAGCCCUCAUGGGCCAAGAUAAAGGCACUUUAAUAAAGCAAAGGCAAGCUUCCUUGUGUGGAAGCA
rnacentral:lncRNA from 1 species